rfam:Triticum aestivum genome assembly, contig: Triticum_aestivum_CS42_TGACv1_scaffold_288392_4AL
CAUGUACUCCCUUCGUUCGGGAUUACUCGUCAAAGAAAUGAAUGUAUCUAAAUGUAUUUUAGUUGUAGAUACAUCCAUUUUUAUGACAAGUAAUUUCGAACGGAGAGAGUAAAAG